AUUGAACGCUGGCGGCAGGCCUAACACAUGCAAGUCGAGCGGUAGAGAGGUGCUUGCAUCUCUUGAGAGCGGCGGACGGGUGAGUAAUGCCUAGGAAUCUGCCCUGGUGGUGGGGGGAUAAACGUUUCGGAAACGGACGCUAAUACCGCAUACGUCCUACGGGAGAAAGCGGGGGGAUCUUCGGACCUCGCGCCAUUAGAUGAGCCUAGGUCGGAUUAGCUAGUUGGUGAGGUAAUGGCUCACCAAGGCGACGAUCCAUAGCUGGUCUGAGAGGAUGAUCAGCCACACUGGGACUGAGACACGGCCCAGACUCCUACGGGAGGCAGCAGUGGGGAAUAUUGGACAAUGGGCGAAAGCCUGAUCCAGCAAUGCCGCGUGAGUGAUGAAGGCCUUAGGGUUGUAAAGC
rnacentral:rRNA from 1 species